rnacentral:rRNA from 1 species
UACGUAGGGGACGAGCGUUGUCCGGAAUUAUUGGGCGUAAAGAGCGUGUAGGCGGCUCUGCAAGUCCUGCGUGAAAUCUCGAGGCUCAACCUCGAGCGGUCGUGGGAAACUGGAGGGCUAGAGUGCGGGAGAGGGAAGUGGAAUUCCAGGUGUAGCGGUGAAAUGCGCAGAUAUCUGGAGGAACACCGGUGGCGAAGGCGGCAUCCUGGGCCGGUAUUGACGCUGAGGAGCGAAAGCCAGGGGAGCAAACGGG